rnacentral:rRNA from 1 species
CCUACGGGUGGCUGCAGUGGGGAAUAUUGGACAAUGGGGGCAACCCUGAUCCAGCCAUGCCGCGUGUGUGAAGAAGGCCCUCGGGUUGUAAAGCACUUUCAGUGAGGAAGAACGCCUGGUGGUUAAUACCCAUCAGGAAAGACAUCACUCACAGAAGAAGCACCGGCUAACUCCGUGCCAGCAGCCGCGGUAAUACGGAGGGUGCGAGCGUUAAUCGGAAUUACUGGGCGUAAAGCGCGCGUAGGUGACUUGAUAAGCCGGUUGUGAAAGCCCCGGGCUCAACCUGGGAACGGCAUCCGGAACUGUCAAGCUAGAGUGCAGGAGAGGAAGGUAGAAUUCCCGGUGUAGCGGUGAAAUGCGUAGAGAUCGGGAGGAAUACCAGUGGCGAAGGCGGCCUUCUGGACUGACACUGACACUGAGGUGCGAAAGCGUGGGUAGCAAACAGGAUUAGAUACCCGUGUAGUC